UUAAUACUACCUCCGUCCGAAAAUACUUGUUCUAGAGAUGAAUGUAUCUAGACUUAUUUUAAUUGUAGAUACAUCUAUUAUAUGCAUUUUUAGGACAAGUAUUUCCGGACGGAGGGAGUAGUAA
rnacentral:pre_miRNA from 2 species